ACCGACUUGCUAAUGGCUUUAGUUUUAAUAAAAGCAUCUUUUACCUCCUUUAUGUAUGAUUUUGUCGUUUUCUCAGAUGUUUCCCUAUUUCAAGUUUUCCUCAUAUGUGUGUGUGUGUGUGUUUUUUCCCCACACUUGUAGGCAGAUGUGCAACACCAACAUGUCUGUGUCUACAACCGAUGGUGCUGCUGCAAGCACCUCACAGAUUCCUGCUUCAGAACAAGAGACCCUGGUUAGACCAAAGCCGUUGCUUUUGAAGUUGUUGAAGUCUGUUGGUGCCCAAAAAGACACUUACACUAUGAAAGAGGUUAUAUUUUAUCUUGGCCAAUAUAUUAUGGCUAAACGAUUAUAUGAUGAGAAACAACAACAUAUGGUAUAUUGUUCAAAUGAUCUUCUAGGGGAUUUGUUUGGUGAGCCAAGCUUCUCUGUGAAAGACCACAGGAAAAUAUAUACAAUGAUCUACAGAAACUUGGUGGUAGUCAAUCAGCAGGAACCAUUGGAUUCUGGCACAUCUGUGAGUGAAAAUAGGCGUCAACUUGAGGAUGGGAAAGGUCAAAAGGAUUCUGUGCAAGAGUUACAGGAAGAGAAACCUUCAUCUUCAAAUUUGAUUUCUAGACCAACUACCUCAUCUAGAAGGAGAGCAAUCAGUGAGACAGAAGAAAAUUCAGAUGAACUAGCCAGUGAAGGACAAAGAAAGCGCCACAGAUCUGAUAGUGUUUCCCUUUCCUUUGAUGAGAGCGUUGCACUGUGUGUAAUAAGGGAGAUCUGUUGUGAAAGAAGCAGUAGCAGUGACUCAACAGAAACCCCAUCAAAUCCGGAUCUUGAUGCUGGUGUAAGUGAACAUUCUGGUGAUUGGUUGGACCAGGAUUCAGUUUCAGAUCAAUUUAGUGUAGAAUUUGAAGUUGAAUCUCUUGAUUCCGAAGAUUAUAACCUUAGUGAAGAAGGACAAGAACUCUCAGAUGAAGAUGAUGAGGUAUAUCGAGUUACUGUCUAUCAGGCAGAGGAGAGUGAUACAGAUUCAUUUGAAGAUGACCCUGAAAUUUCCUUAGCUACCCCCUUUCCUCAGUGCUGCAUGGAGGAUGGGCUUGAAGAAGACAAAAGUGGGAGCAAGAGACCAACCAGUAAGGUUGUUGCAGUGGUACAGCAGAUGGACAGCUUUGGUGUGGAGCAUGCAGAAAGUUGUGCAAUUGUGCAGCAGGCCUGGGAUGCAAACCUUCAACAGACACAGACACAUUCCACUUUGGCUUGACAUGAUCUUCAGGUCAUUCAACAUGUAAAACUGGAGGUACACUGGAUAUUUAAAUCCCAAUGUCAAAGCAACAUGCCCCAUGCUUUCUCUCAUAUGAACGGAUGGGCACUGAACCUCGCACACACUGCAGAUAGUUUAGCUGAAGAAACCGUGCUCUGUUCCAGAGCUGGAGGACAAUCUAGCUAACUGGGCUUACUGAAAAAGACAGGCAAGGUUUUGAUCGAGGCUGCUCUGUCAGCUUGUGUCAUGGAAGGAAGAUAUUAAGGAACAGACUCACAGCUAACCAACAAUGGACAUACAAUACAGGGGUUCCCAGGAUCCUAAUAUUUUGUGGAGGUGACCCGAGUUGCGGUAAUCUCAACCAGAGUGAGAGAGGGAGCUCUUCAAGGACGCCUUCAAACCCAGCUGCAGACAAGUGGUAGUCCAGUAACUUGCUGGAACACACAAGCCUGCCUGGAGCUGGGAAUCAGGAACUAGACAGCAGAGGCUUCAGCUAACCCACAGGUAUGAGACCAAGCGGAAGGCAGCAGCAGCGCUGUGGCCUGCAGCCUUGAUAGAUUACGUGCAGCUUCCCAAGGUGACCAGACUCCUUUGUACAUCCUGCUACGAACUUAGGUACCUCUUCGUUGUACAAAGGCUUAACCUUUCAUUUUCUCAUUUAUUCAUUCAACAAAUAUUUAUGGCCAUUUUAGCAGUUAAAACAAAUGUAAACCACUAACUGUUAUACUGUCCUGAAAAACACUAAUUUUCUAUUUCCGACAUCACUGUCAUCAUUUGAAAAAAUGAAGUCCAAAUGGGAGUAUGAAAAUAGCAAACUUUCCUUUAUUGGGGAGGGGUGGGAAUUAAUCAAAUAUGAAUCAGAUAACAUCACUCCACUGCUUAUCCUUCAAUGGCCCCCAUGGCUUUAAGAUAAAACCUAAGCGCUUCAGCGUGGCACACCAAGCCUCUCAUGAUCUGGCCCUUUCCUGCCCCCAAGCCUCCACCACAAUUCCAUACAGCAGACUCUAGCUAUUCUUACAGGAGUUCCCAAAAGAGCCAACCAUCAGCCACCACACCUUUAAUGCCACUCUUUCUUCUGCAUGGAUAGUCCAUAGCCCACCUGAUCCAAGUGGCCAGCUUCUACUUGCCUUUUCCAGGCUCAACCGAAAAGGCCCCUCCCACCCCAAAACUUACGCUUACGCUUCUCCUCAGCACUAUCCCUUCCUAGCCUCGGUUAGACUCUCCUUUCCCUCUCAUAGUACCUCUGCAAUUCCUCUCAUAACACUUAUUGAAACCACAGGUUUUCCUGUAGGCAAGGGAUUGUAUUUCUCUGUGCUUGCAGGAUCUAGUAUAGUCCGUGGCCCAUACAUAGUAAAGGAUCAAUGAAGGGUUGUUCAAUGCGGGGAUGACUGGAUAAAUUAACAAAUAAACCUGAGGAAGUCCAGUUGAAGCCAGGGUCACCCCAGUCCAAAGAUCAGAUGGAGCUGUUUUCCAGUCUGUAACUAGUCUACAGGGUGCCAUCCUGGGUGGGCCCUGAAUGGGACCCAAUUUUCUAGAUCAAUUCCAGAGUAGAUUAACCUUCUUGGAGAAUCUCCAUCACUAAGAUUCAAACCAAGUAUGAGGAGAUGGAGUUUCAUUUGCUUACGCAUUUGUUCCUCACGCAACUAAUGUGCCCAAAUGAUACCAGAGGAAUGUAGAUUUUAGGUUCCAUUUCACUACUUCUGAACAAGUCAACAGAGAGAGGUUUGGGAUUUCAAUUUAUAAAUCAGGAAUUUUUCUGAUGGCCUAGAAAUAUUUCCUUUAUUAAUUGAAAAAAAAAGGAAAGGAAAAACCUGAAGAUGCAUUGGGUAGGAGUAAAUUUUCUUUUCUGAUUUCAAGAUGGUCAAGAUUCCCAGAAAAGCAGAGUAGCUUGUCUCAUUAAUUACCAACCAUAAACCAAAACAGGAAGAUGGUAGGAAAUUCUUCCACCUUCCUGCUCCCAAAGCCCUGCCUUCUCUAUUCCUCCCACUCCAUUCCCAGGUCAGAGGUUGAUGAAUUUGUUCCUCUUCCUCUAAAAAUUUUAAUUUUCAACUAUAAAUAAUCAAAUUAUAAGAAGUUUUAAAAAAUUGAGUUUUUAAAACUAGCCGUUGUAAUUUUUCUCUGCUCUCUUCUAGUCUUUUUUAAAUAUAGAGAUGAGAAAUUUGUUUUUAAAUCCCCAAAGUGAAAACCUCUAGAGGCCUCAUACUAUAAAAAGCCGAGAGCUUCCCUUUUUGGUCCCUUGGGAGACAGGCUAAACACAAUCAGAUAGCUCAUCUUUUCAAAGAGCAGCAAUAAUAAUAGGUCAAGUUGAGUACUAUUACACAUAAGUACUUAAAGAGAUUUUUUAAAUGUUAUUUUAAAAGAUGCAAUAAUUACAGCUAGAACUAUACAUUGAUUGCCCACCUGAAGUUUCUUCUUUAUGGUAAUCAGGGCAUUCCGGUUCAGUGUUGACGUUUGGGUUCUUUGCACCCCAUUGGUAUUUUUUAUUUCUUAUGAGGUAGGUGUCAUACAGCUGUAACUUAUGAUGAGGUAAAUCGAGAUCCAAAAAUGGAUCAAAUUGGAGUUGUUUUCCAGUAUUGAUGGAGAAGUCUGUGACUAGUCUACAAGGUGCCAUUUUAGGUGAGCUCUGAAAAGGACCAAAUUUUCUAAACACCAUUUGUUGGAGAUCUGCUUAUCCUUAUUCCCUAUUUAUUGCUAGCACAAGAACUCAUCUUUUAGUGGCAAGGGAUAAUGGCAAUUAAUUUACAAGUUUCCCCAUAAGCUACAGUGGGGAACAAAGACUUUCCUGUAAGUAAUCCUACUCCUUGAGUUUGUAUCUUAAAAGGCUUUCAUUCUGAAGUGGCGCAAACCAUAGUUCACACAGAAGGAUGCUGAGCUCUUGAUAGGAGGAGAAGCCCCGAAGUUGCCAAAACGAGGUCACUACAAGGACCAAGCUUGACCUAAAACUAGGACAUUAGGUGAAUUUGCGGGGUUAACAAUGAUAGGCUUCUCACUACCACCGUUCUGAGAUUUAAAUCUCACAUAUGGGUCAAUAGUUUAGUUAUUGUUGUUGUUGUUAGGUGCCUUCAAGUUGAUUUUCAACUCAUAGUGACCCCAUGUGAGAGAGGAGAGCUGCCCCAUAGGCUGGGAUCUGUAUGGAAGGAGCCCUGGUGGCACAGUGAUUAUGCGCUUGGCUGCUAACCUGAAGGUUCUGGUUGAAACCUAUCAACCGCUCUGCAGGAGAAAGAUGUGGCAGUCUUCUUGAGUAAAGAUUACAGCUUUGGAAACACUAUGGGACUGUUCUACUCUGUCCUAUAGGGUUGCUAUGAGUUGGAAUUGAUUCAAGGGCAAUGGGUUUUGGUUUAACCUUUACAGGAGCAGAUUGCCAGGUCUUUCUCCUGAGGAGCUGCUGAGUGGGUUUGAACUGCCAACUGGUUAGCAGAUGUGUUCUUUUUUUUUCUUUCUUUCUUAUUAAAUUUUUAUUCUGCUUUAAGUGAAAGUUUACAAACCAAGUCAGUCUCUCAUACAAAAACUUAUAUACACCUUUCUUAUAUACUCCUAGUUGCUCUCCCUCUAAGGAGACAGCACAAUCCUUCCCUCCACUCUCUAUUUUCAUGUUCAUUCAGCUAGCUUCUGACCCCCUCUGCCCUCUCAUCUCUUCUCCAGACAGGAGCUGCCCACAUAGUCUCAUGUUUCUACUUGAUCCAAGAACCCACUCUUCACCAGUAUCAUUUUCUAUCCCACAGUCCAGUCCAAUACCUGUCUAAAGAGUUGGCUUUGGGAAUGGUUCCUGUCUUGGGCUAACAGAAGGUCUGGGGACCAUGACCUCUGGGGUCCUUCUAGUCUCAGUCAGACCAUUAAGUCUGGUCUUUUUACAGUAAUUUGGGAUCUACAUCCCACUGCUCUCCUGCUCCCUCAGGGGUUCUCUGUUGUGUUCCCUGUCAGGGCAGUCAUCGGUUGUAGCUGGGCACCAUCUAGUUCUUCUGGUCUCAAGCUGACGGCAUCUCUGGUUUAUGUGGCCCUUUCUGAGCAGACGUGUUUUUAACCAUUGUGCCACCAGGGCUCCUUGAUAGUUUAUUAAGGAUAUCAAAAUCAAUAUUUCAGUGGCACACCACCUGCCUCAAAACAGCAUUUUGAGAUUUCUUAGAUGAUAGGCAGUAUCUCUUUAGUGGCCCUGUAUAUAAUGAUGAAGUACGCAGGGACUAGAAUGAAACUGCCAGGGUUUAAAGCCUAGCUCUGCCACUUAUUACCCACGAGCCAUGUGGACUAAGCAAUAUGCUUAAUCUCUCUGAUGAGUCAGUUUUCUCAUCUUUGUUGUGGGAUAAAUGGUACCUGCACCUCAUGGGGUUCUUGUGGUAUCUCAUUUAAUCCUGACAAGCUUUAAAAAUAGUGCCUGGCAGAUAAUAAGCACAUGUUUGUUUGAGAGCCUCAAGUGCACAGAAUUAGCUGAUGACAAAUUAUGUGUCCUAGCAGAUGACAUAGCAUCAGGAUGAUUAAAGGAAAAUUUCUAACAUAAACAGUACCCAUAACGUAUGGACAGGUACCUUAUGCCGACUGUCAACAGAAAUGACGUUCUAGAUCUACAGGUUCAUUCAGGUAGAUCAAUACCCGCUGAAGUUUUAAAAGCUUUGGUGUGGAUUCAGAAAGUGGAAGGGGCUAUCUUGUGAGAGCAUGUCCUUCAAAACCUAUUAGAACAAAACCAUCACAAACUUGCAUACCACCUGUAUCAGGUGAACUUUAAUUUCUAAGUCCAAGGACUGGAUCUCAUUCAGAAAUCCAUACAAAAUGCUUGAGGGCAGUACUGAACCUGGAAGCAGCACACACAUGUAGCCAUGAGGGCAGGGCAGGAAGCAAGUCACUUCUGCCAGUUGUAUUGAAUUACUAAUCAUAAACACAUCUUUCACAAUAUUUUGUUACAUGGUCUGUUGCCAAAGUAAUUGAGGCCAUCGCAUAGAUUUUAACUAUCUCAAGGAUGAUGAUGCUGGAAGCCAUGUGAAGAAUUUCCAGUCUGGCUCUGUCAUGGGGAAACUUCAGCUCAUCAUUGUAAGAGGGUAAGCCAAGAACUCGUGGAUAAGGAAUUGGUUCAUUAGGAAUUUGCCAGUGACAUAAAAUGGGUUCAAUAUGAAUCAGUUAAUGUCAAGAAAAGGCAGCAGGACUGUAACAGAUUAAGAGUCUAAAGAGGCAUAACACUGAAUGUAAUAUGUGAGCCUCAAUUGGAUUCUGGGAGAAAAAAAGCUAUAAAAGACAUUCUUGGGACUAUUAAAAACAAAAGACAUUCUUGGGACUAUUAGAGAACUUUAAAAAUGGAGUACACUGAUAUUAUGGAGUUAGUAUUUUUCUUAGAUAAUGAUGUGUAUGCUUAGGUAGGAGAAAGUCAUUCUUAGCACGUCAUGCUGAAGUGGUAUUUAAGGAUGACAUGGCAUGCUAUUUAUCAUUUCUAAUGGUUCGGCAAAAUCUGUAGAUAGAGUUCAUGAGAGAGAUGAAGCAAAUGUGACAACAUAUUAACAAUUGGUGGAUCUAAUGAAAAACACAUGGGUAUUUAUUAUUUUCGCAACUUUUUUAUAGGUUUGAAUUUUUUUCUCAAAAUAAAAAGCCGAGGCAGGGAGAGGCUUAAAAAGGUAAAGGUAAAAGUCAUGCCCUGAAAAGUGACACUCAAUGUAGGUGUAGUGAGCACAGUAAAUGUCGCCAAGAAGUGCUCAUGAGGAAAGGAUGCCUAUAGUAAAGAAUUUGACAUAUAUAAGAUGGCAACCACUCCAACAAAGACCAAAAAGUCACUCUAGAAUUACAUAUGGAUGGGUUUAGGCAUAUAUGUAUAUGGGUAGGUACAAGGGUACACAUAUGUGAGAAGAGACAGAAGUACCUAUGUGUGUGUAUAAAUAUAGUACAUGUGUGCAGACACAUAUAUUCACUGAAGAUACAACUAUAGAUACUUCCUCAGCCAUUACCAAACAUGUUCCGAAAUUGGUUUUCUAGGUUUGAAAGCUUAGGACCAUAGUUGCAUGGGACAACUCAGUCAAUUGGCAUAGUUCAUAAAGUUCGUGUUCUUUAUUCUAGUGAAGUGAGUAGCAUCUGGAGUCUUAAAACCUUGGGAGCAGCCAACUAAGAUAUAAUUAUGGCCUCUACUCAUCACGAGCUAAAGCGUAAGACAGUAACCAAAAUCUCAGAAAAGAAACAAGUCUACAAGGCUGACAUCCUACACCAGCCAUGACCUCAACUACCCUGAGAUAAGAACUAGAUGGUGCCCAGUGACCGCCACUGACCGUUAGGCCGGGGUCACAAUAGAUGAUAUUGGAUAGAAUGUGAGAAAAAGUAGAACAAAACCCAAAUUCUUAAAAAAGGCCAGACUAAGUGGACCAGAGGACUUCCCGAGGCUAUUGCCCUGAGAUGCUCUUUAAACCUCAAAGUCUCUCCUGAGAUUACCUUUUAGCAGAAAAGCAGAGUGACACACAAAAUAAAGGAUAUGACCUGUUAAAUCGGUAUUCUACUAAAAAAAAAAAAAAAAAUCUAUGAGUCCAAAAGGUCAACAUUUAAUCCAAAGCAAGGAUGAGAAGAUAAGGGGGCAGGGAAACUUCAGUGCUGGAAAUGGAACAACCAGAACACAAAGAGAAUGUUGACACAUUGUGAAAAAUAUAACUAAAUGUGAUUGACCAAUUUGGGUGGAUAUUGUCAAAUGGGAACCUAACUUGCUGUGUAAACUUUCACCCAAAACACAAUCAAUUAUUAAAAAAAAAAAAAGUCAUGCCCUGUUUUCUGCAGCUCGUAAAGAUGGGAAGCAGGAUCAAGAGAAAUCAGAGUUGUUCACCUGAAAGGUGAACCCAUGAAGAGGAGAAUGGAAUGGAGGCUCCCAGUACUCUUAGAGAAUGGGGCAUUCUAAACACACAAACGUGAAAUGAAGAAACAGGGCUGAUGACAACUAUCAUCUCUCAACUCUGGACACUGCUAUCACCGUGGUGUUAUCUUCAGACACUCCAGACACACAUGUUCACUGAUUAAGAACAGAAACUAAGCCCUUCUGGAUACUGGCUACAUAAGCAGGUCCUUUUUCGCUCUCUAUAUCUAUGAUUUUAGACCAAUAGUUCUCAGCUGUAUUAGACAAUGUCUCUCUUUUCAUAUCCAAUAUUGAACAACACCUCCUGUACUAUGCUGGCCUAAAAUAAAUAGAAAAUAAAACACACUUGCAUAUGUCAUUUCAAAAAGAUCGAUACAAUGUUCAAACUGGAUAUCAAGGAGAAAUAAAAGGAACUAAUUUAUAAUAAAAUACAGCUUUACCAUGUAAAAACUGUUUGGUUUUGGGCUCAGACAUAAUUGUAAGCUGGUCUUUCACCUAUGGUCAACAUUAGAAAAUUGUGGGGGACAAUUAUUCAUUAUGUGUGACUAUUCCAUGCAUUGCUGACAGGUAACAACCCUGACUCAAGCCUACUAAAUGUCCCUCCUAGAAUGAUUUAUAAGUUAUGACCUAAACCUCCCCCGAUUCCUAAAACUCUCCCUUGGGGGAGGUACUGCUAUUGAGAACCACUGUUCCAAAUCUCACAGAAGAUGGCAGUUUGGUGGGUGUUUCAUAAAUGUGCAAACCAGAAUCCCAGCCUUCUCCUUUUGCCUCAUAAUCAAAGAGUUUUGACAUACAGAAAAAAAAAAUGUCAAACUCUACAACAAAAGAUUGAAUUCAAGCUGCUUUGGAUGAAACUGUGAAGCCUGGAAAAUGAUCAAGGAAUUCCACGGGUAAUCACAGAGCACAUGAAACGUAUUUAAUACAGGCCUUUACUUGGAUGAUAUAGGUUGCUUGUCAACUCUUCCUAAAUCAAGGGGGAGAGUUGUGGAUGGGGGUGUAAAGGAUAAGAUAAAGGUAUUUGGAAAAGCUUUUCCUUAUAGCAAGGAGGUUUAAGAGUUCAGGCUUUGAUAUCAGACAGACUGUGGUUCCAGUGACCCCUCUGUCACUUACUAGCUGUGGACAGUUCACUGAAUCGCGAUUGUUCACAGUGAACUGGGGACAACUGUCUCUUUAUACCAUUGUUAGAACGAUGACUUGAGUCGUGAGAAACAUCUAGCCCAUUGGCAUAACAUAGUUUAUAAAGAAAAUGUUCUACAUUCUACUUUGAUGAUGCUACAUUCUAGAGUCUGGGGUCUUAAAAGCUUUUGAGCGGCCAUCUAAGAUACUCCACUGGUUUCACCCCAUUUGGAGCAGGAGAACAAAGAAAACUAAAGACACAAGGGAAAGAUUAGUCCAAAGGACUAAUGGACCACAGCUACCACGGCCUCCACCAGACUGAGUCCAGUACAACUAGAUGGUGCCUGGCUACCACCACUGACUGCUCUGACAGGGAUCACAAUAGACGGUCCUGGACAGAGCUAGAGAAAAAUGUAGAACAGAAUUCCAACUCACAAAAAAAGACCAGGCUUACUGGCAUAAGAGAGACUGGAGAAACCCUGAGAGUAUGGCCCCCAGACACCCUUUUAGGUCAGUAAUGAAGUCACUCCUGAGGUUCACCCUGUAGUCACAGAUUAGACAGGCCCAUAAAACAAAACGAGACGAAAGGGGCAAUCCAGCCCUGGGGCAAGGACUAGAAGGCAGGAGGGGAAAGGAAACCUGGUAAUAUGGAACCCAAGGUCAAGAAGGGAGAGUGUUAACAUGUCGUGGAGUUGGCAACCAAUAUCACAAAACAAUAUGUAUACUAAUUGUUUAAAGAGAAGUUACUUUGUUCUGUAAACCUUCAUCUAAGGUACCAUUAAAAAAAAAAAAAAAUGAUGUCG